rnacentral:rRNA from 1 species
GAUGAACGCUGGCGGCGUGCCUAAUACAUGCAAGUCGAGCGAACGGACGAGAAGCUUGCUUCUCUGAUGUUAGCGGCGGACGGGUGAGUAACACGUGGAUAACCUACCUGUAAGACUGGGAUAACUUCGGGAAACCGGAGCUAAUACCGGAUAAUAUUUUGAACCGCAUGGUUCAAAAGUGAAAGACGGUCUUGCUGUCACUUAUAGAUGGAUCCGCGCUGCAUUAGCUAGUUGGUAAGGUAACGGCUUACCAAGGCAACGAUGCAUAGCCGACCUGAGAGGGUGAUCGGCCACACUGGAACUGAGACACGGUCCAGACUCCUACGGGAGGCAGCAGUAGGGAAUCUUCCGCAAUGGGCGAAAGCCUGACGGAGCAACGCCGCGUGAGUGAUGAAGGUCUUCGGAUCGUAAAACUCUGUUAUUAGGGAAGAACAUAUGUGUAAGUAACUGUGCACAUCAUGACGGUACCUAAUCAGAAAGCCACGGCUAACUACGUG